CCCUUAGAUGUUCUGGGCCGCACGCGCGCUACACUGAUUCAUGCAACAAGUUUUGUCCUUGGCUGAUAGGCCUGGGUAAUCUUUGAACGUGAAUCGUGAUGGGGAUAGAUGAUUGCAAUUAUUCAUCUUCAACGAGGAAUUCCUAGUAAACGCAAGUCAUCAGCUUGCAUUGAUUACGUCCCUGCCCUUUGUACACACCGCCCGUCGCACCUACCGAUUGAAUGGUCCGGUGAAAUCUUCGGAUCUGAGAGAUGUCUGAUUAAUUUCGGACGCCUUUUGGAAAAGUUGUUUAAACCUUACCAUUUAGAGGAAGGUGAAGUAGUAACA
rnacentral:rRNA from 1 species